UACGGAGGUGGCAAGCGUUGUCCGGAUUUACUGGGCGUAAAGGGUGCGUAGGCGGAUACUUAAGUGGGAUGUGAAAUACCUGGGCUUAACUUGGGUGCUGCAUUCCAAACUGGGUGUCUAGAGUGUUGGAGAGGAAAGUGGAAUUCCUAGUGUAGCGGUGAAAUGCGUAGAGAUUAGGAAGAACACCAGUGGCGAAGGCGACUUUCUGGACAAUAACUGACGCUGAGGCUCGAAAGCGUGGGGAGCAAACAGGAUUAGAUACCCUGGUAGUCCACGCCGUAAACGAUGGGUACUAGGUGUAGGAGGGAUCGACUCCUCCUGUGCCGCCGUGAACACAAUAAGUACCCCGCCUGGGGAGUACGGUCGCAAGAUUAAA
rnacentral:rRNA from 1 species